AGUCGAGCGAGCGGAACUAACAGAUUUACUUCGGUAAUGACGUUAGGAAAGCGAGCGGCGGAUGGGUGAGUAACACGUGGGGAACCUGCCCCAUAGUCUGGGAUACCACUUGGAAACAGGUGCUAAUACCGGAUAAGAAAGCAGAUCGCAUGAUCAGCUUUUAAAAGGCGGCGUAAGCUGUCGCUAUGGGAUGGCCCCGCGGUGCAUUAGCUAGUUGGUAAGGUAAAGGCUUACCAAGGCGAUGAUGCAUAGCCGAGUUGAGAGACUGAUCGGCCACAUUGGGACUGAGACACGGCCCAAACUCCUACGGGAGGCAGCAGUAGGGAAUCUUCCACAAUGGACGCAAGUCUGAUGGAGCAACGCCGCGUGAGUGAAGAAGGUUUUCGGAUCGUAAAGCUCUGUUGUUGGUGAAGAAGGAUAGAGGUAGUAACUGGCCUUUAUUUGACGGUAAUCAACCAGAAAGUCACGGCUAACUACGUGCCAGCAGCCGCGGUAAUACGUAGGUGGCAAGCGUUGUCCGGAUUUAUUGGGCGUAAAGCGAGCGCAGGCGGAAGAAUAAGUCUGAUGUGAAAGCCCUCGGCUUAACCGAGGAACUGCAUCGGAAACUGUUUUUCUUGAGUGCAGAAGAGGAGAGUGGAACUCCAUGUGUAGCGGUGGAAUGCGUAGAUAUAUGGAAGAACACCAGUGGCGAAGGCGGCUCUCUGGUCUGCAACUGACGCUGAGGCUCGAAAGCAUGGGUAGUGAACAGGAUUAGAUACCCUGGUAGUCCAUGCCGUAAACGAUGAGUGCUAAGUGUUGGGAGGUUUCCGCCUCUCAGUGCUG
rnacentral:rRNA from 1 species